UGGGGAAUAUUGCACAAUGGGCGAAAGCCUGAUGCAGCAACGCCGCGUGAGUGAUGACGGUCUUCGGAUUGUAAAGCUCUGUCUUCAGGGAAGAUAAUGACGGUACCUGACUAAGAAGCACCGGCUAAAUACGUGCCAGCAGCCGCGGUAAUACGUAUGGUGCAAGCGUUAUCCGGAUUUACUGGGUGUAAAGGGAGCGCAGACGGCAUGGCAAGCCAGAUGUGAAAGGUGGGGGCUCAACCCCCAAGCUGCAUUUGGAACUGUCAAGCUAGAGUAUCGGAGAGGUAAGUGGAAUUCCUAGUGUAGCGGUGAAAUGCGUAGAUAUUAGGAGGAACACCAGUGGCGAAGGCGGCUUACUGGACGAUAACUGACGUUGAGGCUC
rnacentral:rRNA from 1 species